ACGUAUGGUGCAAGCGUUAUCCGGAUUUACUGGGUGUAAAGGGAGCGUAGGCGGUUUUAUAAGUCUGAUGUGAAAGCCCGGGGCUCAACCCCGGGACUGCAUUGGAAACUGUAGGACUAGAGUGUCGGAGGGGUAAGUGGAAUUCCUAGUGUAGCGGUGAAAUGCGUAGAUAUUAGGAGGAACACCAGUGGCGAAGGCGGCUUACUGGACGACUACUGACGCUGAGGCUCGAAAGCGUGGGGAGCAAACAG
rnacentral:rRNA from 1 species